GGUAAGCGCACGAUUCGCCUCUGCCACUCCACCUCGCCUCGAGACGAGCCGACCCGCCAGUCGCUCGCGACUCUGUCUCUGGCUCGGUUGCACGCUCCCGUCUGACAGCCGUCAUCGUCGACCUCCCUUCUUUCACGACCGCCCACGAGUCCAUCGUAGGGAGAGAGAUCGGUUCCGGCGAGAGAUCGGAGGCGGUCUCGCGUCCCGCGUAAAAUCGUCCUCCGUCACGUCGUUCUCGUUCUCGUCAUCGUCAUCGUCGUCGUCGCGAGAGGAUCAACCCCGCGCGAUCCCGCUGUCGACGCCCCGGAACCGUCCAAAACCGAAGUGGAGAAUUCACCGUUGCUUAUCGAGCGCGCACGUGUUCUCCUCUCCUCCGUUCGUUCCGCCGUUCUCUUGCUACUAUCAGUCUUGUCUCCCUCGGGAAACCGACCGCGGGCUUCGAUCCUAUCGGAAAUACUGAGUGUGCUCCUCGCGUUCUUCAUUCCUGUCGAAGAAUCGUCCCGCUCUCAUCCCUUUGACGUCGAUCGAUUUUCGCGAUCAUCCCUCGCGAUCGUACUGACAUCACGAUUCCGGAGUGCUGGUGCGGGUUCCCACGCGAGUGGUGGUCCACGUUUGAGCUGACGAAACAGUGAAUCUGCCGGUUUCCGGUCAUACGCGCGGUGAUUGUGGAUCGCUGUGGCUAUAUUUUGGUGAACGCCGUCGUACGGUGCGCUCUUGAUGAAUGUGGUGCGCUAGGAAAGUUUAGACCCUUCGACAACCAACCCGGCAAUCCCCAGCUGGAUUCCUCUCGAUCAUGCGUCGGGCACAGGGUCCCAUCCGCAGGACCGCGGCGAUCGUUCUCCUGUUCCUCGGCGGAUCCGCCGUUCUGCUGCGCGAAGCCAAAGGAAGCGGCGAGCCGUGGUUGAGGAGCGAGAAGCACGCCGAGUUGAGUACGGAGGUUCUACUGCCGUGCGUCUUGAAGUCACCGCAAUGCGAGGGCCUACACAGCAUCAAAUGGUACCGCGGACCCACGCGAAUUUUCAUAUUCAGCGAGGAUGCCGGUAUAAUACGCGGCAACAACGAUAUCGCUGCCAGAGCCGACAUAGACUAUUCUACGAAUUCAUCGAAAACCUAUCUGAAGAUACCGAAAGUUAAGUUGGAGGACGAGGGCCUCUACAAGUGCGAAGCUACAUACAUGGCGGUCAACCGCGAGUGCAACAAUGUGCAGCAUAUUAUCCUUAACGUAACGGUGCAACCGGCAUUCGUACGUGUCAUCGAUGAAAAUUCGAAGAAUACUCUGAGCACUGGUGCCACUUUGGGGCCUAUAAACGAGGGUUCGCCAAUAUCGUUGUAUUGCGAGAGUGGCGAAGGCAAACCUGUACCCACGGUCCAGUGGUUUAAAGGUGACCAGCUACUUGAAGCGACAAGCUCGUCCACCAUUGCUGAUACCGGAAUAGGCACUGGCAGUAGUUUACUGGAGAUGCAAAUUACUCGGGAAGAGUUAGGCGCAACGUUCACGUGUAAAGUCAACAGUAUCGCUCUCGUGGAGCCACUCACGGUUGAUAUCAAACCAGAUGUACAUGUGCGCCCGCUGAAGAUGGGCUUAGCCGGAGUGGUUGGUCAUGUCGUGCAGGGAACCAAGAUCUUAUUGCAGUGCAAGGUAGAGGCAGCGCGACCCGCCGCCAACGUGACCUGGCAGAACGGAACGCAGUUCUUAAACGAGAGCAGCGAGCGAGUCGAGAUGUUUGAGACGAAAGUACACGAAAACGAGGACGGUACAUCGGAGACGAAAAGUUACCUCGCUUUUACAGCAUCGGUGUAUGACAACGGCAAAACGUUCAAGUGCUUCGCUGAGAAUUCGGUUACUCGCACCGAAGACUUGAAGCCAAUGAAGGAAGUGACAACGAUCGAUGUGUUAUAUCCGCCGAUGAUUAAAAUAAAACCAAUCAACAUAACGGUUAACGAGACAGAUGAUUUUCUGAUAUUCUGCGAUUACGAGGCAAAUCCAGCUACGUUAAUAAAAGUGACAUGGUUACGAGACGACGAAGAAUUAGUAUUAAACGACGACCAUUACGACGGCGGAGUCACAGAACAAACAGCGCUCACGGUGAAAAACGCGACUCCCAGCGACAUGGGUUCUUACAAAUGCAUCCUGGAGAACGACGUCGCCUCGUCGGUUUCCGAGGACACCGUGGAAGUUUCGGUCUUUUACAAACCGGUGGUGGAGGUGAUAAUAGACCCGGAGACACCUGUGAACGAAGCGGAUCGCCUGAACGUAUCGUUAACGUGCGAGGUCGAUGCCGGUAAUCCGGCGAUGCUGACGGCCGUCCGUUGGUAUUUGGACGGUGAUCUAUUGAAAGAACUUCCGGACUGCACGAGGAACAGCACUGCCAUGACAACGACCACCGAGGAGUCGUUGACGUUCUGCGACAUCGACCCCAGCAAACUGCUGCUGGAGGCUGUCGGUCGCUCCUUCCACGGCAACUAUUCCUGUGAGGGGAGAAACGAGGCUGGUUGGGGACCGAUCUCACCUAGCACGCCUGUCAUAGUUUAUUAUAAGCCCGGUCCGGCGUCGAUAUCGUACGAACCCCGGAAAGUGGUGAAGAAGCAUCUAUUAUCCAUCACUUGCUUCGUUUUGGAUCCCGGACGACCGAAGGUGUCGGGCUUCAAGUGGCUGCGCGGCUGGCAUCGACUUCCAGACGAGAACGACGCCACGCUCGUCAUCGAGUCGGUUAAUUUGGAAACCGAGGCAAAUUUCACAUGCCUGGCUUAUAACGAGGCCGGCGACGGCGAACCAGCCACAACGUUUAUCGACGUAUCCGCGGCGCCAACGUUCAUUAAGAAGUUACCCCCGUAUUACGGUUACCUGUACAACGCGCCUAACGUGAGCAUCAUGUGCUGGGUCGAAUGCGCCCCGAUCUGCAAUAUUUCCUGGCUGAGGGAUGACAUUCCCAUGGACUUCUCGAAAACGAAUCGAUACUACGUGUCGAACGUUUAUCAUCCGCCUGACCCAAGGACCAGCGACUUCGAGAGCAUCCAAUCGACCCUUGUAUGGAAUCUGACGGUCUGGCCGAACGGUGAGCUCGACCGUGCCGAGGAUAACAGCAAAUUCACCUGCAAGAGCAGCAGCAACGGGAUUGGCCCAGGCGUGGAGAGUAGUACUUACUUUCACGUCGAGUUCCCUCCGGAAGAAAUUAUAAUAUCGAAGAAAAUAAUCAACGUGACGGUGGACACGAUACCGGAAACCGUCAAGUGCGACGCGAAGGCGCGACCGAAACCGAUCUUCCGGUGGUUCCGCGAGGGAUCCGCCGACACCAUUAUGGAGGGCCACGUGCUCGACUUGAAAAUGCCGGUACCCCGGCGUAGCAAUGGUUCUUACUACUGCGAGGCGUCGAAUCGUCACGGUUCCCUGAAUAUCUCGAUGGUCAUGAAUGUGCAAUUUAAACCCGAAUGCUACAUAGAGAAAGAGCGAUUCGAGGGACAGGACUACGUGGUUUGCUCAGCCAUUGCCAAUCCGAAAGAGUCGGAUUUCGUCUGGUCAUUGAAAAGUGACAAUGAUACAUUGGAACAAGUCCCAGAAAUGCGGAACGGGAGAAGUUACAUGCUUCUCGAUACUUCGGUUACUAAUUUCCGGACGUACAUAUGCGUGGCGAACAAUACAAUUGGCCAUUCUGCACCAUGUGAACGUGAUAUACCAGCCUACCAUGGACAUAAAAGUCAUAUACCCUGGUGGCAUCAAUUGGAGGGUAAUCUGCUGCUGAUCAUUAUCGUCGUAGCUGUGGUCAUCAUACUGGUCCUAAUACUGAUCUGCGUGGCCAUCUACAUCGUGUGCCGGCGGAAGCACAGCGAAAUGAAAUAUCCCAAUCAAGCUGCGAAUAACAAUCACGUGAACAGCGUGUCGGAAGGUCUUGCCGACUCCGGAACAAAGACGUUCUACGAAAAUUUACCCUUCCACGGGAUCCAAGCGCCGCCUAAUAAGUUGGUUACUCCUAAGUUUGCCCGAGUUUCGGCUUUGCAUGGCACGUUGCAUCAGUCCGUCACGGCCUCACCGUGCUCCUCGCGGCCACCAAGCAGAGCUGUUAGCCUCUGCGACGGCAGUUCCGGCUACGAGUCGACCAUGAGCCACCUAGGGCCCCACUACAACAUCUACAACGUGCCCAGGAGCAAUUCGCCGGUGCUCAAGUACAACACUCUGAAACCGCGGCGGCGCAAGCAGAAGCACUCGCAGCAGUUCUACUCACUGCGGCUGUGCCGUCGCCACGAGAACAUUCGCAGGAAAUACGAGCUGUACGCUAUACCGAUCUAUAAGACGUGCCCGCACCGGAGCGACAGCACGACCACGAUCGCGACGAUCAUGCGCUCGAUGGAGGACGCGCCGUCGCUGACUCUGAGCCAGGCAUCAGCGUCGAUGAGCCUGAUGACACGAUCGGCGCCAUCGACGCCGAUACCACCGUCACCGACGACGCCGCCGAUACCAGCGCCGAGGACGUCCAGAAAAACCGACCCGUCCAAACACACCUACCAAAAUGUUCCUCCCCCCGUUUUUCCACCGAAAAACGCUUCGUUGCCUAAGCUUAAGACCGACAGCCUAUACAACUACAAAGAGCAUUACCAGCAGCAGCAUCGGCAGGAGAUGCAGCAGUACAGCUACCCCUUACCGAGCAACAGUUCGAACCAACUAACACUGCCACUAACGCGCAGCCUCUACCAUUCCUCGAUAGUUAGUCCCCUGCAGACCUCCUUCGUCCACACUAACAGCAGCCGGCCGUCCACCCUGAUGCACCACGAGACCGCCGACGACACGAGCAAUCAUCUGCCCGCGGUGCAUCGGGACGAGGAGCAACAGCAGCCGAAUUACGGCAAUCACGACGCGAGACAGUCGUCGCGUCGACACGUGACGAAUCGGCGGAACGAUCGUAACCGGAAGUACCGGAAGCACGAACGCACGUCGACCGAUCGAAGCAAGUCGAAGCAGAGCCGACAGAGGGGUGACGUCGCACCACCCCGGCGCAGCGACUCCUUCGUCGGCUCGCCCGCCUGCGAGACCAGCUUCCACCAGAUCCCGGAUCUGGGCGUGCCGGAGACGAUGUACAAGAUUUCGUAUCCGCACUACUAUGAGGACGACAUCGCGGAGUGCUCGACAGACUAUCAUCGUCCUAACUCGGCGAUGGCGCGACAGCAGCUGCAGCAGCAGCAACAGCCAUGGGAGCGCCAAUCGAAUCGCUGCAUCGGUAACAGCACACAGCAAUUCGUGGACGCGGGCGAUGCGAAAAAUCGCAACAAAACGCCGAAGGCGAGAACGAUCUCCACGGGCCUCGGCGAUUCCCGCACGCCGUCCGCGCCCACGAUAAUGCAGUAUGCCGAGCUACACUUCCGGGAUGUCGGUCAGGAGAUCGAUGUCUAAAGGAGGGUCAGCCGACAAAGAGCGAUACGUACAUUUACUAGGAAUUCUGCGUCCGACAGGCCCUCCCUUCAAGCCGGAGUUCUCGGAUCUCGAUUAUGCGGACGUGGACUACAAGUCGUACGGCCCGAUUAACUAUAAAGCCGCC
rnacentral:misc_RNA from 1 species